ACCCGGGUGCGUAAACUCACCUGAAUGAUUUCGCACCAUGGACUACGUCUUCCCUUCCGUAGGCGCCCUCCCCGCACCCAACUACAGGCACCAGCCCCUUCUAGGCCGGGAGAACCUUCGCUUCAGCCUCCCGGGCAACUCCAACCGCUACCUCCCCCUGCGCAGCAAGGAGGCGGCCGAGGACGGAGCACGUGCACGUCGCAGACGCCGCGACCACCAUGCCUCCUCCGACUCGACCUCGGCGACCGAUGCCGCCCACGCCUCGACCUCCGCGACCGACGCCUCUGCCGCCAGGCGACGCAGGCACCGACGGCCCCGGCCCCGACCCCGACGACCCGAACGUGAGGAGCGCCCCGUGGAGGUCGCUGAUCGAGCGUGGGGGGGAAGACGUCUCCUCGCCUUCGCCUUCCUCGUGGUCACCGGCGCCGUGUCCGCCGUCCUUCUUCUCGGUGGGCAUGAGCUCUCCAUCUGGACCUACACCGCCGCGCAGACAUCCUGCACCUGCUCCCCCGCCGCCGAAGCCAAGAACUAGGCGUAGGGAGGCAAAAGAAGAGGGGUUAUGGCCGAAGCGGGCAGGCGGCUGCGCAUCCACCUCUCGGACGACGCCAUUGAUGGCGGAGCCGCCGCGGGCCGGGAUGGCGGGCGCUUGUUCGUAGAAUAGCGAGGCGAGAAGAGGGGUCAGACGCGCGGCAUUUGCCGGAGCGGCGGCGGCAGUGGCGGUGCCACGCCCUUAAUCGAGUUCUUGUUCUUCCAAGAACGACUCCUGGUCGUCCGCGCCAGCCAACUCGCCGUGGCGGCGCCGUUCUUGGAUCGCGGCGCUUCCCUUUGUACAAUAGCAAGGCGAGAAGAGGGGUUAGCAGCGGGGUAUUGGCCGACACGGCGGAGCACGCUCUCAAUCGAGUUCUUGUUCGUCCAAGAACGACCCCAGGUCUUCCGACCGACCACCUCGGCGUGGCGGGGGCGUUUGGGGAGGCGGCGCGCGGCGCAGAUUAAGCGGCGGACCGGGAGGAGCCCGGCGAGGGUUAACACGUUCGGGGGAGCUCCGGGCAUGAGAGGGUGGAGGACGCGCUCCGGUCGUGUCGUGGAGCGGCAGACCUAGUUGUUGCGCGUGCCGGCGUCUGAUUCCUGCUCGCUCGCCAUUGCUCAUAAUUGGGAAACUUGGUGCAAAUCUCUAACAUCCUAAAUGUUAGCAAAACUUUCUCAUAUGGGUGUAUUUUGGUUCUUAAACUAUUAAACAAUACAAUAUAAUACAUUUUGAUUAUGUGAAUGAUUCAUCUAAUUUUCUUUUAUGAUUGGUUGUGGUACAUUCUCUUUAAUGAACUAUUCUAGUUGCGAUUUUGAUGUAUUUUUUUCUUAUAUCUUUCAAUUAUUUUGAUUUAAAUUGCAACUGAACAACUCCCACAAAAUAAAAAUGUCAUAUUAUUUAAAUCUAAUCAUAUAGUGAUUGAUUAUGCAUUUUAGUGGAAUCCAUCGCUAAUAAUAAAAAUAAGUUUUUACUUACACCACUAUUUGUUUAAAGGGGAGCGAUAGGCGCCGGCGCGCCGGCCCAAAUUUGGGCCGGUCGCAGCCCAGGCGUUGGAUGUGUGCAUGCACGGCCGUUAGAUCUGGGCUCCUCCUGUCGUCUUCUCUUCCAAAAACAAAUCUGAGCGAUGCCGGUGAAGAACACGAGCAGCGGCGCUGCUGGCACUCUCCAUGGAUGAGCGAACGAGUAACCUCGAAGCACCGUCACUUCGCCGCCGGUCGCCGUCCUCGCCGGUGGUCGGUGCCUCCCAAGCGUUUCUCGCCGACUUCACGCAUGCAACACCGAGCGCUUGCAGGUUGCAGUCACAAAGUGCCAUGGGUCGCAGCUCCGGUGGCGGCGGUCGCCGGCCGCAGCGCUCCAUGGACGAACUCGCAGUCUACCUCCCUCGGUUUCUGGUCGCAGCAAAACCGCCUGCCAGUUAUAGCAAACGCGAACAACGGUUGCAGCAAAAAAGCAGCUCCUAUCAUUGCCGCACGCCAUUGUCAGCUUACCGCUCUCUCGUUGAAGCUUUUUCAGAAGCGGGUUGAAGCUUUCUCAUAGUCGGUUGCAGCUUUUCUCUGAUUUUGUUCGCCGGUCACUGCCAAAAGAAGGGUGGUAACAAAUUAUGUCGCCGGUCGUAGCAAAAAAUGACCGCGGUUGCAGCAAAAAAUGUGGUCACCGCCGUCGCAUGUUUAGCAUCACCAUUAAUGAUGUAGCAAAUCUCGAUGAUGGUAGUAGCAAACAUUUACGACGGAUGCAGCAAAAACACGUCUCGCCAUAUAACCAAUGCAGCUCGCGCGCUACAGGUUGCAGCUCGCCUUGUUGCGGGUUGUAGCAAAUUGCAACAAUGAUGGUAGCACUUUCACAGAUAGAGGGAGAGGAGAGGGAGGGUCAAGCUGGAAACUGCCCCUCAUGGCAGCACCUAGGGGGGACGUAGCAGCAUCUGUGGGGGAUUGUAGCAAAUCGCGACUAUAGUUGUAGCAGUUUCAAAGGUAGAGAGAGAGAGAGAGGAGAUCAGGAGAGGGACGGCCAAGCUGGACCCCCCUUGUAGCAGCACCUAGGGUAGCCAUGGAGCUGUGCUCUAGCUGGGGAAGAAAAAGGGAAGGGACGAGUGGAGGAGAGAGCUACAGAGAAAAGAUAAGAGAAAUACAGUGCGUGGGCCAGAAAAAAGUAUGAGUGCGUUGUCUCCCUGGUCGUACGAUCCAGUUGGAUCGCGUGGCCCGCGCGCGUCCGGCGCAAUGGUUUGGCCGGCGCGCCGGGUGGAAAUGUUUCCCUUGUUUAAAUAGGGUAAAUUACUUUGUAUUAUUUUCCUUUUAUUCUGAAAAAGCUUCUGCAUGCAAGUUUGGUCGAUUAUGAUGUGUUUUUAUCAGUAUUAUAUUUUUUUACUGUUUACCUAUUAUAUGUGAUCUAAACGCUCUUAUAUUGGUUUACUGAGUGAGUCUUAUUUUAUCACUUUAUAUGAGAAGUAAAAAAACAUACCUGUCAUGUAGCUACCUUGUAUCAUGUAUCCAUACCCCCAAACGUGUCAGCAGGUUGCUGCUGGGUGCUUGUGCCCUUGAGUCGUCGAGUCCGACUUUUUUCAUUGAUAGCCGACCAGUGUCUAUUUGUGCCAAUGCAACAUGUGCAUGUUUUCCAUCACAGCCACGUUAAAUUAAAGGACUGUUGGGCUGACAGCAUUAUUAUUUUUGCAAUAAUAGAUUCCGGCCCGUUAUGUAGCAAAGGCCCAUCUGGCUGUCAAUCGUUGUGCGAUCAAUCGUUGAUUCGUUGGCUCCAGGAAGCCGGUAGGGAUAUGUUUAGAAUAAUACCACCUCGGAUAUAGAAAUAAUAUGAUCAAAGUGGACCGACGACGGACAAAAAACGGACAAAAUUACGGUGGUAAGAAGCGAUAGCCGCUUUAUUAUUAGGUAAAGAUAAAGAUAAAGAUAAAGAUAUGUUCACUUCUACUUCGGUACACCCUCCUUAAACACAUCAAAGGCUAAGAUCUGCCCAUACCCCUUCGCUGUCAGGUCUUAUGUAAAAAAUCUACCCCGCGUGUCCACGCCGAUACCCCCGCGCGCCUGUGUAUCAGGGGCUGCGGGACCAGCCGAGCCGCUUGGCAGCCGUGAGGACGCGAGCCGUGCCGAGCCGUUAGCAUCCAUGGGCCCACAAUGUCAGAUGCAGGGUGUGUUUGUUUUCAAAAGUGGGCGUUGACCGGUGGGGGUGUACGUGUGGUCGUGGCGCGGACGGCCGUAUCGUCGUGCAGUUAACUGCUUGCACUAAUUGCGGCGUGCAUGCAGGCGCCGACUGCUCGCGGCCGAUCUCCUACCGCCCGCCUUCUGCCCUCGUAGUCCGCGCCCUCCACUGUCGCGCGUGCGGCGACCGCCCGCCUUCUGCCUCGGGCCGGCUGUUGACGCGACCGCUCGGCUGCCGCCACUGCGGCGACCGGCCCGCCAAACGCCAUCGAUGCCUCGCCUUCCGCCCGCACGCCUUCACACACCAGCCCUGCCGCGCCUGCCGCCCUCGCGCCUUCACACGCCACCGCUGCCGCGCCUGCAGCCCGCCCGCCUUCCCACGCCACCGCUGCCGCGCGUGCCGCCCGCCUUUCUCGUGGCGCGCGCCACCGACGGCUCGCCCUGGCCACUCCCUCCACCCGCCGGCUAUAAAAGGCCGCCCCGCCCCUCUCUUCUCCACUCCACGCCACCGACACGCACCCGCCCCGCCCCUGUCUUCUCCAGUCCAUCUCAUCUCCACGCCACCGACACGCACCCCGACGAUGUCUUCGAGCGACUCCGACGAAGGCGCGUGGCCGGGCGGCGUCUGGCCGUUGAGCCUCACCAUCCGCGACACGGAGGACCUCGCCCGGUUCGGCCUGAUGGUGCCGCCGGUUUCGAAGGUGCCGGGGCCAUGGCGGAUCGGCGCAGACGGCGUCCCCACACGCGGCUCGCCACCGACGCCGGAGCAGCUCCACGCCUUCCCUGGCGCCCGGUACAACAGGAAGGCCCGCCGCCGCUUCUGGCGAGGCAAAAACUUCGAUGUCGUCCUCGGCGCGUUCAGGGACGCGGCGGCCGACCGCCCCGUCGGAGACAUUACCGGCGAGGUCGGCUGUUCUCGUCGCCGCCGCCGCCAGCUCCCACCCGCUCCCGGCCCUAGUACUCGGGCACAGCAGGCACCCCCUGCCCCGGCGCUGUCCCCGCUCCCGCCGGCGCAGGCCGCCCUCGCGCAAGACGGCGGCCCCGAUGACACCCCGGGGCUACUUGCGGUGCUGGCCCGGUCGGCAGCCGAGGCGGCGGCGGCGGCGCGCGAGGAGAGAGAGAUGCAGGCGGCCUUAGCGGCGGUGCGGGCGCAGGAGGCGCAGCAUGGCGGCAACUGGUGGGACGACGACUCCGGCGAUGACGGCGGCGAAGGAGGCGCUGGCGUUGUCGACCUCGCCGGCGCCAGCGACGACGAGUAGUUUAGUUUUAGGUUUAGAUUUAAAUUUCGUUCUAAGUUAUGUAAAAUAUCUUUAAGUAUGAAUGAAGUCGGAAUGGUUUAUCUGGAAAAAUAUAUCCUUAUGUUUAAUUUGAUAUUAGUCGUGCAACAAAGCUUCGAAAAAUAAACAAAAAUACAUGCAUUUGAGCAUUACGAGACGACAAGUGGUAAAAUAAAACUGAGACAAAACGGCCGGUUCGCUCAUAACAGAACGGCCUCCGGUAAACGAUGUGAAUUUUUCGAAUGACCUCAACGGUCUUCGGAAAAAUCAUGGAUAUUCAUAGAGUAGCAAAAAGCAAUGAAACUUUUCAUAGAUGCUAGUCAUUGAUUAAAAAGUCCUUUCGGAUGGGCCCUUCGCUACCCGUUGAAUGUAUUUGGAGACAAAAAACAAGUAGCGUCACGUCCGGAGAAUGCUUUAAUGUGUUUUCACCGCAAAAAUUGUAGAAAAUACAUAGUGGCAAAAAGCCACGAAAUUUUUCAUGCACACUAGUCAUGAUGAUACAACAGUCAGAAUUUUUUUUUGGGUUUAUUUGAGUUGGUAUGCCCACCCCCACACUCAAUCCAAGAAUUGAACGUAUUUGGACACUAAAAACAUGUUGCGUCACGUCUGGUCAGUGUUUUAGGUGUUUUCAUCAAAAAAUUGUAGAAAAUUCAUAAAGUGGCAAAAAGGUACGAAACUUGUCAUGCAUAGUAGUCAUGAUGGUAGAACACUAUAAAAGAAUUUGGAUUCAUUUGAAGGAUGUCGAAAAAAACUUAUUUUGGACGGGGCCUUCGCUCCUACCCGAACGGUCUCCGGAGAACGAGGUCAAUUUUUUGACAUAUUCGGAAUGACCUCAAAUUUUACAAGUGAGUUGUUAUGCCUACCCCCACACUCCUUCCAAGCAUUGAACGUAUUUGGACACCAGGAACAUGUUGCAUCACAUCCGAGGGGUGCUAUGUGCUGUUUUCACCGCAAAAUUGUAGAAAAUUCAUAAAGCGGCAAAAAGCCAAAAAACUUGUCAUGCAUCCUAGCCAUGUUGGUAGAACACUAGGAAAAAAAUUUGGGUUCAUUUGAAGGAUGUCGGAAAAAAACUUCUUUCGGACGGGGCCUUUGCUCCUACCCGAACGGCCUCCGGAGAACGAGGUCAAUUUUUUGCCAUCUUCAGAAUUGCUUGAAAUUUUGCAAGUGAGUUGGUAUGCCCAUCCCCACACUCAAUCCAAGAAUUGAACGUAUUUGGACACCAAAAACAUGUUGCGUCACGUCCGGUCAGUGUUUUAGGUGUUUUCAUCAAAAAAAAUUGUAGAAAAUUCAUAAAGUGGCAAAAAGUUAUGAAACUUGUCAUGCUUAGUAGUCAUGAUGGUAGAACACUAUGAAAAAAAUUUGGAUUCAUUUGAAGGAUGUCGAAAAAAAACUUCUUUCGGUCGGAGCCCGAACGGCCUCCGGAGAACGAGGUCAAUUUUCUGCCAUCUUUAGAAUGGCUUGAAAUUUUGCAAGUGAGUUGGUAUGCCCACCCCCACACUCAAUCCAAGAAUUGAACGUAUUUGGACACCAAAAACAUGUUGCUUAACGUCCCGUCAGUGUUUUAGGUGUUUUUACCGAAAAAAUUGUAGAAAAUUCAUAAAGUGGCAAAAAGGUACGAAACUUGUCAUGCAUCCUAGUCAUGAUGGUAGAACAUUAUGAACAAAAUUUGGGUUCCUUUGAAGGAUGUCAAAAAAUAAUGUAGAUAGUACUAAUGUAAUUUGACUGAGGUGAGACUAAAUUUGCAUAGUGUGGCAAAUGAUAAAAAACAAGACAAAUAGUAAUGAUGUGAUUUGAGUUUACACUGCAACUAGCAACUCUGACGCACUGCCCGGGCAGUGUAAUGAGCUUACACUGUCCGUGCAGUACGGCAGUGCCGCCCCUGGCAGUGCAAAGUCAAACCAAAUUAUUACUAACUGUCUCAUAUAGCAAUGUGCACGAACGCGGCUAUAUAAGCCGGUCGUGGCGUCCCUCGGCGCGUGAGGUGGGACUAAAGAAGCGCCCCUCCCACCUCCCCCCGCGUCGUGAUGCAUAGAAGGCAAAAAAAAUAGUGAUGCGAAAAAAAGCCCAACCGUGGUUGCAUGCCGCAACUGCGCGUAAUCGGUCCGGCCCGAUCAAGCCGGGCGGCGAAAGGGCCGGCCUUUCGGCCCAGCUACGGCUGGCAGCACAGUCAAACGGGGCAGUGGCGGGACGGGCGGGAAUCAGAGGAGUUCGAAAGGGAGGUGGGAGGCAGGUAUAUAAGGCGGUCGCGACGUCGUUCGGCGGGCGAGGUGGGACUAAACUUUAGUCCUGACCCCCGCCGACCCUGCCCCCGCACCGCGCGCACAGUCAAUGGGCCGGCCCACGCGCGCCGUCGCGCACAGUCACUGGGCCGGCCAACGCGCGCUGUCGAAGACUUUUUUUUGUUUAAAAAAUAGUAUUAAGUUUUUUUAGUUAUUUAUGCCUUUUGUUAUCGUUUAAUUUUUUUCUAUAAUUAAUAAAAAUCCAUACGUAAUAUAGAAUUGUUAACUUGAUUUAUUAUAAUAAUAAUGAGUUGUUUAUUAUAAUUUAUAGGUAAAAAUAAUGAGUUUUUGAUAAUUAAUUGCUAAAACAAUAUUUACAUCAGAAUUGUUAAUUAGAUUUUUAAUAUUUAUGUAAUGUUCAUUAUUUAAUUUUCUAUGUCUUAUUCAUGAAUGCAUAAAAAAAUUGCCAUAAUAAUAAUGAGUUUUUUGUUAUAAUUUAUAAGUAAGAAAAUUGAGUUUUUUGUUAUAAUUUAUAAGUAAAAAUAAUAAGUUUUUCUUUAAUGGCUAACAUUUUUGAGUUUAUUAAUAAAUAAUUUGGAAAACACCCUUAAUAAUUGUACAUAUAUGCAAAGUUUAGUACAGUAAUGUGCAAAGUUUAAAAAUAAGAUAUUCCAUAAUUAUAAAGAAACAAUAUUGAAUAUAGAAUAUUCCAUAAUUAUAAAGAAACAAUAUUUAAUAUGCAUUUUGUUAUCGUUUAGAAAAUAUUCCAUAAUUAUAAAGAAACAAUAUUGAAUAUUGAAUAUUAUUUGUUAAAAAGUGCACGGAGGGACAAAAUGAUAAAAAAUAAGAUAGCUAGUUAAUAAAGUGAUUUGACUUUACAUAGCUGCCCGGGCAGCAGCCGCCCGGGCAGGUAUGUAUGAUCAAAUCUCUUUAGUAUUAGCUAUUUUCUGUAACAAAGAGCAUGAACGCGGCUAUAUAAGCCGGUCGUGGUGUCCCUCGGCACGCGAGGUGGGACUAAAGAAGCGCCCCUCCCACCUCCCCUCGUGCCGUGACUCAUAGAAGGCAAAAAAAAUAGUGAUGCAAAAAAAAGCCCAACCGUGGUUGCAGGCCGCAACUGCGCGUAAUCGGUCUGGCCCGAUCAAGCAGGGCGGCGAAAGGGCCGGCCUUUUGGCCCAGCUACGGCCUGCAGCACAGUCAAACGGGGCAGUGGCGGGACGGGGCGGGAAUCAGAGGAGUUCGAAAGGGAGGUGGGAGGCAGGUAUAUAAGGCGGUCGCGGCGUCGUUCGGCGGGCGAGGUGGGACUAAACUUUAGUCCUGACCCCCGCCGACCCUGCUCCCGCACCGCACAGUCAAUGGGCCGGCCCACGCGCGCCGUCGCGCACAGUCACUGGGCUGGCCAACGCGCCCUGUCGAAGACUUUUUUUGUUUUUUGUUUUUUGUUUCAAAAUAAUAUUAAGUUUUUUUAGUUAUUUAUGCCUUUCGUUAUCGUUUAAUAAAUGUUCUAUAAUUAAUGAAAAGCCCUAUGUAUUGUACAAUUGUUAACAAGAUUUAUUAUAUUUAUGUAAUGUUCAUUAUUUAAUUUGUUAUGUGUUUUGCAUUAAUGGCUAAAGUUGUUUUCAUAAUAGUAAAGAGUUUUUUGUUAUAAUUUAUAAGUAAUAAUAAUUUGGAAAAGACCCUUCAUAAAAAACAAUACUUGAUAUAGAAUUUAUUAAGUAGUUAUAUUAAAAACAAUACUUAAUAUAGAAUUUAUUAUGUAAUUAUAUUAAAAACACUACUUAAUAUAGAAUUUAUUUAGUAUUUAAAUUAUAAGAAAUUCAUACGGUGUCGGAAAAUUAUGAAAACUUGCAUGCAUGAUGGCCCUGGUGAUGCUGGCGUGUGGAAACAUUUGGGGUCCACCGGCUGAGUCAGAAAAGGAAACGCAGUACGGAGCUGACCUCCUUCAUAUCCGAUCAAUGCCGGUUGCAUGGGUGGUACGAGGUGGCAUGCAUGAAACGUCACCCAAUUUUGGGGGCAGUGGGCAUGCCCAUCUUAGGGCCCCACGCAAGAUUUGAACGAAUUCGGACACCAAACGCAUGUUACAUCACACCCGGUUAGUGUUUUCGGUGCGUUUCACGGAAAAAACCAUAAGAAAUUCAUACGGUGUCUGAAAAUUAUGGAAACUUGCACGCAUGAUGGCCCUGGUGAUGCUGGCGUGUGGAAAAAGUUUGGGGUCCACCGGCUGAGUCAGAAAAGAAAACCCAGUACGGAGCUGACCUCCUUUAUAUCCGAUCAGUGCCGGUUGCAUGGGUGGUACGAGGUGGCAUGCAUGAAACGUCACCCAAUUUUAGGAGGUAGUGGGCAUGCCCAUCUUAGGGCCCCACGCAAGAUUUGAACGAAUUCGGACACCAAACGCACGUUGCGUCACGCCCGGUCAGUGUUUUCGGUGCGUUUCACGAAGAAAACCAUAAGAAAUUCAUACGGUGUCAGAAAAUUAUGAAAACUUGCAUGCAUGAUGGCCCUGGUGAUGAGUGCGUGUGCAAAAAAUUUGAAUGGUUGAAUUAGAUAAAAAACGCAUUAAUAUUUUCUAUCGUUAAAAAUAUAUUGGAGAUAAUGGCUCUCUUUUUGAAGAAUAUGCAUGAUCCAUGUGAACCUUCACAAGCUCUGAGCAGGUGAAGACUCACAUCGAUCCUGCAUAUCCUCCAAAUAGAGUCCCACAAACUCAGAUGUUUGUUCAUGGAGCAAAAGAAAAGUAUAUAAAGGAGUCAACGGCGCGCCGGCUUAGCGAUGUGGUAUUAAACUAGAACCGUUAAAGUACAAUGAAUGUUUUCAAUAAAUGCAUCAUGGGCCAGCCGACGGUAGUAUUACGGGACGGGCCAAGGGGCCCACUAUGGCGUGACCACGUCUAUGACGCCGUACGUGCGUGCAUGGGCAUGGAAACCACGCCGCCAUUACCUCGCCCCAGGACCGCCUAACCCCGUCGCCUCCAUGCACGACCUCACCCGAUCCGACGGUCGCACCGCCAUGGCCGUCCCAACUCCCUUCCUUGCCGCCCUCACGACGGCCAUACACUCCGGCAUCUACGCGUGCGACUUGGAUCUCGGCCCGGCCGGGCCGUCUCGGCAAAGUCGCCCGCACCCAGAACCCUAGGGCGGGCCGUCGGCCACCGCGGUGGUGUGGGCAGAGGGCGCGCGGCUGCCACGACUAACCCACACCGGGUGGGGUUAGCCAACGGAGGCCGCCGGUGCACCUCGUGGCGCCGGAAGGUAUGGUAUUAAACCAUAUGUAAUGUUUUUUGAAUCUCGUAACUAGUUAGAUAACUUUCAUCUUAUUUAGAAUGCAAGAAUUCGGAGAUGUGUACUGCUCGGUUGAGAAGUGGUGCGAAUUGGUGGGAAAAUUCACACCCAGACAGCGCAUGAUGCUACGUGGCACAAAUUUGGACAGUAUGUUGAGAAUUCCUUCAGUGAAAAUGAGGAAAAAUUUAUUGGAAUUUAUGAUUACAACGUAUGAUAGUAGUAGAAAGCGAUUUACGGCAUCAGUGUGCUUAAUGAAGAUGUUUAUGACAUAUUCGGGCUACGUAACGAGGGUGAUGAUGUCAAUAGCAUGAUAGCAACAGUACAACUAAACGCCAAAAAAUUGUUCCGAAUCGGUUUUUAGACAAAAGAACAGGCCUAAUCCUCAUCGAUGACUUGAUAAAAAAUAUUAUUGAUAGUCAGUCAUAUGAUGAUGAUUUUGUGAGAAGGGACGUACUGGUUCUUAUGGGUACAGUCUUAGCACCACAAUCCACCAAGUUUGUUCCUUAUCGUUAUUACAAAAUGGUGGAGGACAUGAACGCUAUCAAGUCAUACAAUUGGAACGAUUUCACGUUGGGGGUGUGCAUGGAUGCUAUUAAAAAACGGUCGAAGAUCUUGAAAAAUUCAAGUGGCCUAUUGGGAACUUGGCUCAUCUCCAGUAUAUAUACUGGGAAAAACUUGAGCCAAUUGGUGUGGAUACAUUUGAUCCUUUGUCUCGUGAAUACCCACUAAUGCUUAACUGGCCAGAAACGGAAGGGAAAAAGCGAGACGACUAUGACAACAUGCACGGGCGGGGUACCGGCAAUAGGCAGCCAAAGUUUUUGUUGAGACUCUUGCAUCGUCAAAGAAGCAUGCACACCGAACCGUGGUUGAUGUGCCGCCAUCAGAUGGGGACAUAUGCACGCCAGCUAUGCUUCACGAUGUCCUAAUGUUUAAAUGGUUGAAUGGCGCUAUCAUCAAUGCAUAUUCUAAACACCUACAACACCGUGAUUUUUCUGAUCGUUACAUAUCAACAACGUGGUUCCCCAAAUUUAAGUUGAAUAGGGCAAGGGGAAAGACCAAGUCAGUAAAUGAUAUAGACUCAGAGAAUCUUACAAAGAAAACAAAAGUCCUCACAAGAGUAAUGGAUGAGUAUUUCAGACGGGACAAGGCGUAUUUUCCUAUGUAUGUUAAUGAUAAUCAUUGGAUAACCAUAGUGAUGCACACCGUCAAGGAGGAGUUUCAAGUUCUUGACUCAAAUUCUAAAGGCGCAAUUAGCCAAAGAAUUCGCAAUAUGAUUGCCACCCUGAGAGCUGAAAUUUCUAAGGAUAUUAUGGAGGCCAACUCAACUCUUGAAGCAAAAAAAAUUCCAGAUGUCUCAUCGUGGCCAAUAAAUGAGUACAAAAUGCCGAGACAAAAAGAUGGAGUGUCUUGUGGAAUUUUUGUGAUGUGGUGCAUAAAAUACUGGGACGGAGAUCGCUGGACAUAUGAAUUUGACCAGGAAGAGAUUAAUGCGUCAAGGCCACGUAUUGUCGCGGAAAUUAUUUUUUCAGAGGUGAACAAAUUAGAGAAGGUCAAGAUGAAAAUUGUUAAAAUCAUGGAGAAGGAAUAGGUAUUAGCAUCGGUAGGGUUUUAGUCCCGUAGAAGGUUUCUCUGCCGUUGUUGGGUACUUUAUUCGAUUGUAAUGCGACAUGGCACUUUCAGUUUAUUUGUUUUCCUACUUUGUUAAAGGAUAUGAGACAUGGCACUUUCAAUUUA